GUUGCUGCUGCUGCUGCU
rnacentral:miRNA from 1 species